rnacentral:sRNA from 1 species
ACCCUCUAUUAGAAUAUAUCCCACAUCGAGACUUUAAUAAUUUGUGGAGCAAUAUAUAAGUAUGUGGUAAAUCUCUACUCUUGAGUUACCUUUUGAGUAUUAGUUAGGCUCAUACUAAUAUGGUAUCAGAGCCUAUAGUUUCAAUGUGUCUCGAUUGUGGACCACCCGUGGAUGUGAAGUUCCACAAACUUCACGCUUCAGAUGUCCAGUCCUGAGCGUGAGGGAGGUAUGUUAGAAUAUGUCCCACAUCGAGACUUUAAUAAUUUGUCGAGCAAUAAAUAAGUAUAUGGUAAACCUCCACUUUUAAGCUAGCUUUUGGGUGUGAGUUAGGCCCAUACUGAUACUCUCAGUCUCUCAUUACAUUAAAUUUUACUUAGUUUUUGUAUCCAAUAUAUUUAAAGUUUAUAUCCAAGAGAUCACUAAACUCAAGGAAAAUUUAACAACUAGAAAAUUAUUAGACCUUAUCAUGAAUUCUUUCCAGCCUCAGUAAUAAAACAAAUGUCGUUACAGAGAGUCAAUUUUU